rnacentral:misc_RNA from 1 species
UACGUAGGUGGCAAGCGUUGUCCGGAAUUAUUGGGCGCAAAGCGCGCGCAGGCGGUCCUUUAAGUCUGAUGUGAAAUCUCGCGGCUCAACCGCGAGCGGUCAUUGGAAACUGGGGGACUUGAGUACAGAAGAGGAAAGCGGAAUUCCACGUGUAGCGGUGAAAUGCGUAGAGAUGUGGAGGAACACCAGUGGCGAAGGCGGCUUUCUGGUCUGUAACUGACGCUGGGGCGCGAAAGCGUGGGGAGCAAACAGG